CACCGCGGUUAUACGAGAGGCCCAAGCUGACAGCUCUUCGGCGUAAAGAGUGGUUAAAAUAAGAACUUAUUAAAGUCAAACUCCCCCCUAACUGUUGUACGUACUUGGAGGAAAGAAGCCCUACUACGAAAGUGACUUUAAAGAAUUGAACCCACGAAAGCUAUGGCACAAACUGGGAUUAGAUACCCCACUAUGCUUAGCCCUAAACUUUUAUACUAACUCACAAAAAGUAUGCGCCAGGGUAUUACGAGCAUAAGCUUAAAACCCAAAGGACUUGGCGGUGCUUAAUAACCCCCUAGAGGAGCCUGUUCUAGAACCGAUACCCCUCGUUAAACCUCACCCUUUCUUGCCCAACCCGUCUAUAUACCGCCGUCGUCAGCUCACCCUGUGAAGGCCUCAAAGUAAGCAUAAUCAGAAUUACCUUAAAACGUCAGGUCGAGGUGUAGCAUAUGAAAGGGGAAGAAAUGGGCUACAUUUCCUAUUCUAGGAUAUACGGAAUGUGUGUUGAAACACAUACUAUGAAGGAGGAUUUAGUAGUAAAUAGAAAAUAGAGAGUUCUAUUGAAACCGGCCCUUAAGCGCGCACACACCGCCCGUCACUCUCCUCUAACCAAAUACAAAAAAUUUCCUAAAACAAUAAAAGGGACCAGAGGAGAUAAGUCGUAA
rnacentral:rRNA from 1 species